rnacentral:rRNA from 1 species
UACAGAGGGGGCAAGCGUUGUUCGGAAUUACUGGGCGUAAAGGGCGCGUAGGCGGCCUGUUAAGUCGAACGUGAAAUCCCCGGGCUCAACCCGGGAACUGCGUCCGAUACUGGCAGGCUUGAAUCCGGGAGAGGGAUGCGGAAUUCCAGGUGUAGCGGUGAAAUGCGUAGAUAUCUGGAGGAACACCGAUGGCGAAGGCAGCCUCCUGGGCCAGCACUGACGCUCAUGCACGAAAGCGUGGGGAGCAAACAGG